rnacentral:rRNA from 1 species
UACAGAGGGGGCAAGCGUUGUUCGGAAUUACGGGGCGUAAAGGGCGCGUAGGCGGCCUUCUAAGUCGAACGUGAAAUCCCCGGGCUCAACCCGGGAACUGCGUCCGAUACUGGAAGGCUUGAAUCCGGGAGAGGGAUGCGGAAUUCCAGGUGUAGCGGUGAAAUGCGUAGAUAUCUGGAGGAACACCGGUGGCGAAGGCGGCAUCCUGGACCGGUAUUGACGCUGAGGCGCGAAAGCCAGGGGAGCAAACGGG